UACGUAGGGGGCAAGCGUUGUCCGGAAUCAUUGGGCGUAAAGCGCGUGUAGGCGGUUCGGUAAGUCUGCUGUGAAAGUCCAGGGCUCAACCCUGGGAUGCCGGUGGAUACUGUCGGGCUAGAGUACGGAAGAGGCGAGUGGAAUUCCCGGUGUAGCGGUGAAAUGCGCAGAUAUCGGGAGGAACACCAAUUGCGAAGGCAGCUCGCUGGGACGUCACUGACGCUGAGACGCGAAAGCGUGGGGAGCGAACAGG
rnacentral:rRNA from 1 species